rnacentral:rRNA from 1 species
AGGGCACCACCAGGAGUGGAGCCUGCGGCUUAAUUUGACUCAACACGGGGAAACUCACCCGGCCCGGACACCGUAAGGAUUGACAGAUUGAUAGCUUUUUCAUGAUUCGGUGGAUGGUGGUGCAUGGCCGUUCUUAGUUCGUGGAGCGAUUUGUCUGGUUUAUUCCGAUAACGAGCGAGACUCUGGCUUAUUAAAUAACUGGCGCAUCGCCACGGUCGGCCACACUUCUUGGGGGGAGGUUCUGUUUCUCACCCAUCAAAAAAAAAAGGAACGUGGCUGUUAUCCCCUCAGGUGUCCGGCGCCGCUCACAUUCUACAAUGAAGUGUGCUUGUCCCCUCCCCGCUCCUGCUCCGACAGGAGUGAAAAUCCCCCUUCACCUUCAUCGGGAUUGGAAAUAAAUUGUUUGUAAACACUCACCUCAAAGAAGGAAUAAGCCGUCAAGCGCAUCUGAUUACUCGCUGUCCUUUCGCCCCUGCGCCCGUCGACUGCCCCGGACUGAUCCACUGCUAAUAACUCGGA